GAAAAUGAGACUUGUAUAUAUUAUAUGAAAAAUCGGCAAGUUGUCUUUGGCUAGGUUUCUUUCUCAUAUUCACAUGUUGGAUCUACGAUGACAAUGAUCUACGAGUUAGCCGAAGAGUUCGUCGUCUACGAGAAAAAAAUAAGAACUUUUGACAGAUAAGUAAGCCCAAUAACUAUUGGUGGUGGUUGACGUCCCAUCAGUUGAGUUCUCUCCGGAUUGUGAGAGCGAGAUAGCUAUUGGAUGAGGGAAGUUGGUCUCAGACUUAACUAUCGUUUGCUAUUGCUGCUGAAUCAAUGGAGUUGAACGUGAAUUUGAAUGGAGAUGCAUUUUGGAAAACUCCAUCUUUGAGCCAUCUCUCAGGAUUGAAUGAAGCUGCAUCAGAACCCCAGUUGUAUUCCA